CACACUUGAUGCGGUACAGAUACAUUGCGUAUCUUUCUCAAAGUGACGUCUUGACUUAGAUGCGCCCCAUACUAAGGUCUUACUAAGACCCCAAAAGAGGAAGUUUUAUCCCCUUUCCUAUGGAAAUAACCUAACACCCAAUUAUAAAAGAUGGAUUAAGAAAACUUGGAAUUGAACUCCAACAAAUUCAUAUAAAGAAGUUAGGAAAGGUUUAAGGAGCGGCGUUACUAAGCAUUACUGAACCUUCCAAACCUGAACUAGUUCACAUAGAAAAGGCGAAAGAAGUGGCAAUUAGACUUAGAGAAACAAAUUACACUGGACCCUGCAAUAUUUUACCGAAAGGCCCUAUUCAACCAGUACAGAGCAUUACACUGCCCUUUUACCACCAUCCUAAAAGAGAAAAAUGGAAUACAUCAAACGACAGGAUCAGAAAAUGUGUUAAGCCCAAGAUCAGCGAGGCUAUAAGAGUCCUCACGGGACACUGAAUAGUAGGAAUUUCAUGCAAAUGAAUUUUCUCCCAAACGACUACUUUCGCUUCUGCAGUUACAAUGGAUCCAACACGUUUUAAGUGAAUCAGUGUUUUUAAAUGAAUAAACCCGUCAGUCAACACAACUUUAUUACUUUACUAAACUCGCAUAGUUGGCCGUCAAUAGGUAGCAUUAAAAGCAGCAUAAAAAAACUUGUUUGCUUAUAAUUAUGUUUGUCGACUUUUUCUAACACCACAUUAAACGGGAUACCUUAUAAAAGCUAGUAAAGCUAACAAAAAUGUUAUUUUGAUGUUCCACCAAUCCACCACCAGUAAUUUUAGACAUUUCGAUGAAGAAAGGUGCGGGACCCAGAACAGAGUCAGCGAUUAGUGGAAUUUGGGGAAUCGAAAGACGUGGAGAUGCCACAAGCAAGUGGAAAUGUUAUACAACGAGAAGAAUCGGGGACGUCACAAGCGGCAGCUGAGGAAUGAAUUUGGACCAAGCCCAGAAGAAGCGGAAGUGCAUUUCAACAUGCCUAAUGCAACCAGACGAGCUGAAGAAACAGUGAAGGCUCCGGAUUAUCAUUUUCCUUUCCCUGUCUUGUACAUUGACGCGUGAACGGCGUUGGCCUAAGUCAACCUCUCAGCGAGCCUUUCAGAGUAUGCGUGUAAAGCAAAUGAAGCAACCAGCAUGAGCAACAAGUUCCCGCAGUCACACAUGAAGAAGCUAUUGGAAUCAUUUGGAGUACACAGGGAUUAUUGACUUUCUAGGGUCAAUGCUAAAGAACCCAUCUUUCUGGUUGUUGCUGACCCUUCUCUCAUCUAGCAUCGGGAAACUGAUAUACUAAAGAACUCUAUGCGGGCAAAGCGGUGCAUUGCGGAACUCAGCCAAGUGACUUUCACUGAAGGAGCAGACCAAGCCAAACGAGACCGUAUUCGUCAACCGUGAAAAAACCCAUGACAGGAUUCAAGGGAAGUGAUAGAUGCAAAAUUCUGCCGCCCUGAAAAUCACCAUCGAGCAUUACAUUCUAAGCCUCCCGUCGACCGAGCUCUCCACAUGGGAAUAUUUGCGAAAGCAUUCUGUUUUGCUCUGAUAUGUAUCGUCCUGGAAUAUCAACGAACCAUCGGGGCUAGAAGAAUCACCACCCCAGAUGAUAGGCAAUCUAAGGUCAGCCAUGAGCGGCCUCACAUUUGAGAUAGGUAAAUUAACUAAUGAAAUCCUAAAUUCCCGAAACAAAAUUGCUAACACAACUUUUGACCAGAUGAAUGUAUAAUUCUAUACGUAACUUAAGUAAUAUUUUGAUGAAAUGAGCGAGCAAUCUUUCCUCGAUAUCAUAACAAAUUACACCAUAACCAUGAUUGUAUUUAAAAUUAAACGGGUUGUGCACAAUCCAUAUAAAAAGUAACUUGUAAAUAUGUAUAUGCAAAGUUAAGCAGCCGACGUAACCGUAGGCACAGCACCCAACAUUAGCCUUAGUUGUACCUAAAGAAAAAUGUAAAAAAAUCUAAAUCAUCAACCUAGUAGAACUACGUUGGUCCCAAAAAAAAAUAAAUUAAAAUCAACCCUAAAGUUAAAAUAACA